AGUUACUGCUGACCUACCAGAAGACCAAACAAAAACAAAUUUCAUCCUUCUACUUCCACAAAGAUAUGACAACAUAGUUCAGUAAGGGCAGCAAAAGUUUUAUAUAUUACAAAUUGGUCGGACCUUGGUCUGUGUUUCAAGCAUCGUUAAACAGGUCAAAGCAUAGUCACUCACCACCUGGACGGAAAGUUUAAUUUAUUACAGCAUUAUUUUUUUCUGGGCCUCAUGUUUUCAACUAAACUUUUGGUAUUUUGGUUCGUUAAUUCAGAAAAUUCAUGUUUCGAAAUCUGUAGUGGUGUAAAUCUGCCCGUUACCUCCUAGUAAUUAAAACAUGAUUCUAAGACAA